GCUCAGAACGAACGCUGGCGGCAGGCUUAACACAUGCAAGUCGAGCGCCCCGCAAGGGGAGCGGCAGACGGGUGAGUAACGCGUGGGAACGUACCAUUUGCUACGGAAUAACUCAGGGAAACUUGUGCUAAUACCGUAUGUGCCCUUCGGGGGAAAGAUUUAUCGGCAAAUGAUCGGCCCGCGUUGGAUUAGCUAGUUGGUGGGGUAAAGGCUCACCAAGGCGACGAUCCAUAGCUGGUCUGAGAGGAUGACCAGCCACACUGGGACUGAGACACGACCCAGACUCAUACGGGAGGCAGCAGUGGGGAAUAUUGGACAAUGGGCGCAAGCCUGAUCCAGCCAUGCCGCGUGAGUGAUGAAGGCCCUAGGGUUGUAAAGCUCUUUCACCGGUGAAGAUAAUGACGGUAACCGGAGAAGAAGCCCCGGCUAACUUCGUGCCAGCAGCCGCGGUAAUACGAAGGGGGCUAGCGUUGUUCGGAUUUACUGGGCGUAAAGCGCACGUAGGCGGACUUUUAAGUCAGGGGUGAAAUCCCGGGGCUCAACCCCGGAACUGCCUUUGAUACUGGAAGUCUUGAGUAUGGUAGAGGUGAGUGGAAUUCCGAGUGUAGAGGUGAAAUUCGUAGAUAUUCGGAGGAACACCAGUGGCGAAGGCGGCUCACUGGACCAUUACUGACGCUGAGGUGCGAAAGCGUGGGGGAGCAAACAGGAUUAGAUACCCUGGUAGUCCACGCCGUAAACGAUGAAUGUUAGCCGUCGGCGUGUUUACACUUCGGUGGCGCAGCUUACGCAUUAAACAUUCCGCCUGGGGAGUACGGU
rnacentral:rRNA from 1 species